CUACGGGAGGCAGCAGUGGGGAAUAUUGGACAAUGGGGGCAACCCUGAUCCAGCCAUGCCGCGUGAGUGAAGAAGGCCUUAGGGUUGUAAAGCUCUUUCACCCGUGACGAUGAUGACGGUAGCGGGAGAAGAAGCCCCGGCUAAUUCCGUGCCAGCAGCCGCGGUAAUACGGAAGGGGCUAGCGUUGUUCGGAAUUACUGGGCGUAAAGCGCGCGUAGGCGGCCAUGCAAGUGAGGCGUGAAAGGCCUGGGCUCAACCUGGGAACUGCGCUUCAGACUGCACGGCUUGAGUCCGGGAGAGGGUGGUGGAAUUCCCAGUGUAGAGGUGAAAUUCGUAGAUAUUGGGAGGAACACCAGUGGCGAAGGCGGCCACCUGGCCCGGUACUGACGCUCAAGUGCGAAAGCGUGGGGAGCAAACAGGAUUAGAAACCCCAGUAGUCC
rnacentral:rRNA from 1 species